rnacentral:rRNA from 1 species
CCUUUGUACACACCGCCCGUCGCUACUACCGAUUGAAUGGCUUAGUGAGGCUUCCGGAUUGAUUAACUGGAGAGGGCAACUUUUCUGGUUGAACGAGAAGCUAGUCAAACUUGGUCAUUUAGAGG